rnacentral:rRNA from 1 species
CCUUACCUACUUUUGACAUCCAGAGAAUUUAGCAGAGAUGCUUUAGUGCCUUCGGGAACUCUGAGACAGGUGCUGCAUGGCUGUCGUCAGCUCGUGUUGUGAAAUGUUGGGUUAAGUCCCGCAACGAGCGCAACCCUUAUCCUUUGUUGCCAGCGGUUCGGCCGGGAACUCAAAGGAGACUGCCAGUGAUAAACUGGAGGAAGGUGGGGAUGACGUCAAGUCAUCAUGGCCCUUACGAGUAGGGCUACACACGUGCUACAAUGGCAUAUACAAAGAGAAGCGACCUCGCGAGAGCAAGCGGACCUCAUAAAGUAUGUCGUAGUCCGGAUCGGAGUCUGCAACUCGACUCCGUGAAGUCGGAAUCGCUAGUAA